UACAGAGGUCUCAACCGUUGUUCGGAUUCAUUGGGCGUAAAGGGUGCGUAGGCGGUCGCGCAAGUCGGAUGUGAAAUCUCAGGGUUCAACCCUGAAACUGCAUUCGAUACUGCGUGGCUAGAGUGCUGGAGAGGAGACUGGAAUUUACGGUGUAGCAGUGAAAUGCGUAGAUAUCGUAAGGAAGACCAGUGGCGAAGGCGAGUCUCUGGACAGCAACUGACGCUGAGGCACGAAGGCCAGGGGAGCAAACGGG
rnacentral:rRNA from 1 species